AGAUUGAACGCUGGCGGCAUGCCUUACACAUGCAAGUCGAACGGCAGCACGGGAGCAAUCCUGGUGGCGAGUGGCGAACGGGUGAGUAAUAUAUCGGAACGUGCCCAGUCGUGGGGGAUAACGUAGAGAAAUUUACGCUAAUACCGCAUACGAUCCAAGGAUGAAAGCGGGGGACCGUAAGGCCUCGCGCGACUGGAGCGGCUGAUAUCAGAUUAGCUUGGUUGGUGAGGUAAAAGCUCACCAAGGCGACGAUCUGUAGCUUGGUUGAGAGAACGACCAGCCACACGUGGGACUGAGACCACGGCCCAGACUCCGUACGGGAGCAGCAGUGGGAAUUUGGACAAGUGGGACGAAAGCCUAGACUCCAG
rnacentral:rRNA from 1 species